UGAGGAAUAUUGGUCAAUGGGCGAGAGCCUGAACCAGCCAAGUCGCGUGAGGGAUGACGGUCCUACGGAUUGUAAACCUCUUUAGGCGGGGAGUAAUGUGCUCUACGAGUAGAGUAGUGAGAGUACCCGCAGAAUAAGCAUCGGCUAACUCCGUGCCAGCAGCCGCGGUAAUACGGAGGAUGCGAGCGUUAUCCGGAUUUAUUGGGUUUAAAGGGUGCGCAGGCUGUGCAUCAAGUCAGCGGUAAAAUCUCGGGGCUCAACCCCGUUUAGCCGUUGAAACUGGUGUGCUGGAGUGUGCGCGAGGAAGGCGGAAUGCGCGGUGUAGCGGUGAAAUGCAUAGAUAUUGCGCAGAACUCCGAUUGCGAAGGCAGCCUUCCAGUGCAUGACUGACGCUGAGGCACGAAAGCGUGGGUAUCGAACAGG
rnacentral:rRNA from 1 species